CUACGUGCCAGCAGCCGCGGUAAUACGUAGGUGGCAAGCGUUGUCCGGAAUUAUUGGGCGUAAAGCGCGCGCAGGCGGAUUGGUCAGUCUGUCUUAAAAGUUCGGGGCUUAACCCCGUGAUGGGAUGGAAGCUGCCAAUCUAGAGUAUCGGAGAGGAAAGUGGAAUUCCUAGUGUAGCGGUGAAAUGCGUAGAUAUUAGGAAGAACACCAGUGGCGAAGGCGACUUUCUGGACGAAAACUGACGCUGAGGCGCGAAAGCCAGGGGAGCGAACGGGAUUAGAUACCCUGGUAGUCCACGCCGUAAACGAUGAGUGCUAGGUGUUAGACCCUUUCCGGGGUUUAGUGCCGUAGCUAACGCAUUAAGCACUCCGCCUGGGGAGUACGACCGCAAGGUUGAAACUCAAAGGAAUUGACGGGGGCCCGCACAAGCGGUGGAGUAUGUGGUUUAAUUCGACGCAACGCGAAGAACCUUACC
rnacentral:rRNA from 1 species